rnacentral:rRNA from 1 species
ACUCAAACAUGUGCAGAGGGGAAUAGCAGGUUAUGCGUCUCCGUUAGAGACUACUACUUUUACAUGCUGCAAACACGGCCUGCGAUCUUCAAUCCAAUACUUUGUGGAGCACGCCUACUGCAGCAAUGGGCGGUUGACAUGUACAUCAAGAUUGAGAGCUGUCGGUUGAGGUGGUACAGGAAGAACCAGAUGCAGAUCCGUGCCGAUUUGUAUGAAGGAGUUGUUGAUGCGAUCACAUCGGGGGAGACGCGAGCAAGCGCUGUUGGGGUAAGAAUAGUG